rnacentral:tRNA from 1 species
GGCUCGUUGGUCUAGGGGUAUGAUUCUCGCAUAGGGUGCGAGAGGUCCCGGGAUCAAAUCCCGGAUGAGCCC